CGCUAACCGAAUCCAAGAACACA
rnacentral:piRNA from 1 species